AGGUAAGCUACUAAGAGCGAAUGGUGGAUGCCUUGGUUGGUAGAGGCGAUGAAAGACGUGCUAGACUGCGAUAAGUCUCGGGGAGUUGUCAAGGAGCUUUGAUCCGGGAAUUUCUGAAUGGGGAAACCCAGUAUAUAGUGAUAUAUACUACCUAUAUGGAGCAAACGUGGGGAAUUGAAACAUCUUAGUACCCACAGGAAAAGAAAUCAAAUGAGAUUACGAAAGUAGCGGCGAGCGAAAUCGUAAAAGGGCAAACCACUAGUUUACUAGUGGGGUUGUAGGACUGUAACAUAGACUAAAAAGAGUUAAUAGAAUAAUCUGGAAAGUUUAAGCAUAGAGGGUGAUACUCCCGUAUAUGAAAACUCUUUUUUACUUAACAGUAUCCUGAGUAGGGCGAGGCACGUGAAACCUUGUCUGAAUCUGGGAAGACCACUUUCCAACCCUAAAUACUACUACCAAACCGAUAGUGAACAAGUACCGUGAGGGAAAGGUGAAAAGAACGGGGGUGACCCGAGUGAAAUAGAACCUGAAACCAUUUGCUUACAAUCAUUCAGAGCACGAUUCUUUAUGACGUGUGAUGGACUGCCUUUUGCAUAAUGAGCCUGCGAGUUGUGAUAUCUGGCAAGGUUAAGGAAAUCCGGAGCCGUAGCGAAAGCAAGUCUUAAUAGGGCGUUUAGUCAGAUAUUGCAGACCCGAAACGAAGUGAUCUAUCCAUGAGCAGGUUGAAACCGGUGUAAGAGCCGGCGGAGGACCGAACCCGCUGACGUUGAAAAGUCUUGGGAUGACUUGUGGAUAGGGGUGAAAGGCCAAUCAAACUUCGUGAUAGCUGGUUCUCUCCGAAAUAUAUUUAGGUAUAGCGUUAUGUAGUAAUUAGAGGGGGUAGAGCACUGAAUGGGCUAGGGCAUACACCAAUGUACCAAACCCUAUCAAACUCCGAAUACCUUUAAUGUAAUCAUAGCAGUCAGGCGGCGAGUGAUAAAAUCCGUCGUCAAAAGGGGAACAACCCAGACUACCGACUAAGGUCCCAAAAUCUUAUUUAAGUGGAAAACGAUGUGAAGUUACUUAAACAACCAGGAGGUUGGCUUAGAAGCAGCCAUCCUUUAAAGAUAGCGUAAUAGCUCACUGGUCUAGUGAUUUUGCGCGGAAAAUAUAACGGGGCUAAAAUAAGUACCGAAGUCGUAGACUUAGUUUUACUAAGUGGUAGGAGAGCGUUGUAUUUAGCGUUGAAGAUGUACCGGUAAGGAGCGUUGGAGCAAAUACAAGUGAGCAUGCAGGCAUGAGUAGCGUUAAAUCAGGUGAGAAUCCUGAUCGCCGAAAACCCAAGGUUUCCUACGCGAUGCUCGUCAUCGUAGGGUUAGUCGGGUCCUAAGCAAAGUCCGAAAGGGGUAUGCGAUGGAAAAUUGGUUAAUAUUCCAAUACCAAUUAUUAUGUGCGAUGGAAGGACGCUUAAAGUUAGUGGAGCUAACUGAUGGAAUAGUUAGUCUAAGGUCGUAGGUUGAGUUAUAGGCAAAUCCGUAACUCUUUAUCCGAAAGCUUAAAGGCUUACAAAGCUCUUCGGAGUAGCGUAAGAAUCCAUGAUACUAUAGAGCCAAGAAAAGUUUCUAAGUUUAGUAAUAAUUGCCCGUACCGUAAACCGACACAGGUGGGUGGGAUGAGUAUUCUAAGGCGCGUGGAAGAACUCUCUUUAAGGAACUCUGCAAAAUAGCACCGUAUCUUCGGUAUAAGGUGUGCCUACCAGGGUGCAAGCCCUAGAGGUUACAACAAAGAGUCCCUCCCGACUGUUUACCAAAAACACAGCACUCUGCUAACACGUAAGUGGAUGUAUAGGGUGUGACGCCUGCCCGGUGCUCGAAGGUUAAUUGAUGGAGUUAGCAUUAGCAAAGCUCUUGAUCGAAGCCCGAGUAAACGGCGGCCGUAACUAUAACGGUCCUAAGGUAGCGAAAUUCCUUGUCGGUUAAAUACCGACCUGCAUGAAUGGCGUAACGAGAUGGGAGCUGUCUCAAAGAGGGAUCCAGUGAAAUUGUAGUGGAGGUGAAAAUUCCUCCUACCCGCGGCAAGACGGAAAGACCCCGUGGACCUUUACUAUAGCUUGACACUGCUACUUGGAUAAAGAUGUGCAGGAUAGGUGGGAGAUUAUGAUCUAUAGAUGCUAGUCUAUAAGGAGUCAUCCUUGAGAUACCACUCUUCUUUAUUCGGGUAGCUAACUAGCCUAAGUUAUCCUUAGGUAGGACAAUGUCUGGUGGGUAGUUUGACUGGGGCGGUCGCCUCCCAAAUAAUAACGGAGGCUUACAAAGGUUGGUUCAAAACGGUUGGAAAUCGUUUGUAGAGUAUAAAGGCAAAAACCAGCUUAACUGCGACACCGACAAGUGGAGCAGAGACGAAAGUCGGUCUUAGUGAUCCGGUGGUUCUGUGUGGAAGGGCCAUCGCUCAAAGGAUAAAAGGUACCCCGGGGAUAACAGGCUGAUCUCCCCCAAGAGCUCACAUCGACGGGGAGGUUUGGCACCUCGAUGUCGGCUCAUCGCAUCCUGGGGCUGGAGCAGGUCCCAAGGGUAUGGCUGUUCGCCAUUUAAAGCGGUACGCGAGCUGGGUUCAGAACGUCGUGAGACAGUUCGGUCCCUAUCUGCCGUGGGCGUAAGAAGAUUGAGGAGAGUUGACCCUAGUACGAGAGGACCGGGUUGAACCAACCACUGGUGUAUAAGUUGUCCUGCCAAGGGCACCGCUUAGUAGCUAAGUUGGGAUGUGAUAAGAGCUGAAAGCAUCUAAGCUCGAAGCCAACUCCAAGAUUAAUCUUCUUUUAAGAGCUCUUAUAGACUAUAAGUUUGAUAGGCUGGGUGUGUAAUUGAUGUAAGUCAUUUAGCUGACCAGUACUAAUAGCUCGUUUGCUUAUCUUA
rnacentral:rRNA from 1 species